UACGAAGGGUGCAAGCGUUACUCGGAAUUACUGGGCGUAAAGCGCACGUAGGCGGCUUUGUAAGUUAAAGGUGAAAGCCCGGGGCUCAACUCCGGAACUGCCUUUAAGACUGCAUCGCUAGAAUUGUGGAGAGGUAAGUGGAAUUCCGAGUGUAGAGGUGAAAUUCGUAGAUAUUCGGAAGAACACCAGUGGCGAAGGCGACUUACUGGACACAUAUUGACGCUGAGGUGCGAAAGCGUGGGGAGCAAACAGG
rnacentral:rRNA from 1 species